rnacentral:rRNA from 1 species
ACUUAAAUUGAAGAGUUUGAUCAUGGCUCAGAUUGAACGCUGGCGGCAGGCCUAACACAUGCAAGUCGAGCGGUAGCACAGAGAGCUUGCUCUCGGGUGACGAGCGGCGGACGGGUGAGUAAUGUCUGGGAAACUGCCUGAUGGAGGGGGAUAACUACUGGAAACGGUAGCUAAUACCGCAUAACGUCGCAAGACCAAAGUGGGGGACCUUCGGGCCUCAUGCCAUCAGAUGUGCCCAGAUGGGAUUAGCUUGUAGGUGGGGUAACGGCUCACCUAGGCGACGAUCCCUAGCUGGUCUGAGAGGAUGACCAGCCACACUGGAACUGAGACACGGUCCAGACUCCUACGGGAGGCAGCAGUGGGGAAUAUUGCACAAUGGGCGCAAGCCUGAUGCAGCCAUGCCGCGUGUGUGAAGAAGGCCUUCGGGUUGUAAAGCACUUUCAGCGGGGAGGAAGGCGGUAAGGUUAAUAACCUCAUCGAUUGACGUUACCCGCAGAAGAAGCACCGGCUAACUCCGUGCCAGCAGCCGCGGUAAUACGGAGGGUGCAAGCGUUAAUCGGAAUUACUGGGCGUAAAGCGCACGCAGGCGGUCUGUCAAGUCGGAUGUGAAAUCCCCGGGCUCAACCUGGGAACUGCAUUCGAAACUGGCAGGCUAGAGUCUUGUAGAGGGGGGUAGAAUUCCAGGUGUAGCGGUGAAAUGCGUAGAGAUCUGGAGGAAUACCGGUGGCGAAGGCGGCCCCCUGGACAAAGACUGACGCUCAGGUGCGAAAGCGUGGGGAGCAAACAGGAUUAGAUACCCUGGUAGUCCACGCCGUAAACGAUGUCGAUUUGGAGGUUGUGCCCUUGAGGCGUGGCUUCCGGAGCUAACGCGUUAAAUCGACCGCCUGGGGAGUACGGCCGCAAGGUUAAAACUCAAAUGAAUUGACGGGGGCCCGCACAAGCGGUGGAGCAUGUGGUUUAAUUCGAUGCAACGCGAAGAACCUUACCUGGUCUUGACAUCCACAGAACUUUCCAGAGAUGGAUUGGUGCCUUCGGGAACUGUGAGACAGGUGCUGCAUGGCUGUCGUCAGCUCGUGUUGUGAAAUGUUGGGUUAAGUCCCGCAACGAGCGCAACCCUUAUCCUUUGUUGCCAGCGGUCCGGCCGGGAACUCAAAGGAGACUGCCAGUGAUAAACUGGAGGAAGGUGGGGAUGACGUCAAGUCAUCAUGGCCCUUACGACCAGGGCUACACACGUGCUACAAUGGCAUAUACAAAGAGAAGCGACCUCGCGAGAGCAAGCGGACCUCAUAAAGUAUGUCGUAGUCCGGAUUGGAGUCUGCAACUCGACUCCAUGAAGUCGGAAUCGCUAGUAAUCGUAGAUCAGAAUGCUACGGUGAAUACGUUCCCGGGCCUUGUACACACCGCCCGUCACACCAUGGGAGUGGGUUGCAAAAGAAGUAGGUAGCUUAACCUUCGGGAGGGCGCUUACCACUUUGUGAUUCAUGACUGGGGUGAAGUCGUAACAAGGUAACCGUAGGGGAACCUGCGGUUGGAUCACCUCCUUACCUUAAAGAA